AAAUGUCCUCUGUUGCCAAACCGACUCUUUAUUAUUGUUCAUUUUCUGAACGUGGUUUCCGAUGUGACCCGCGCUUGAUUUCCCCCACCCCCUGCCCCUCUUGUUUUCUGUCUAGAACGACACGGUGUAAACAAUUAUUAACCGGAUUAUUUUCAAUGUCGUUUUGCCUUUUUUUUUGUGCGUGUGUGUUUUCCUCCUGUCUCCGAGAUGAAGGACGUGUGAACGCCGGCUUCAUUAGGCUUCUCAGGGCUUUGUUAGGGGAGCGUUUCUUGGCAGGUUCUGCAGAAUCAGAGCGAUGACUGCGGGCUACGUGGCUGAAGCAAUCUGGCUGCUAAUGCACUCAAGAGCUGGAGCCUCUUUGUUCAAUGGGGGACGGGAAGAGAAUCUGGAUGUUUCUGCAUUGUUUAUAGUCAAAUGUGCAGCACACAUAAAAAAAAGUGCUUCGGAAUUAACGCUUAUUAGCCCCGAAACAUACCUCUGACGCCCCGCGCCUCGCCUGGGCUUUAUGGGGCUGCAACAGAUGGGUUCUCGUUCGGUGGAAGCUUGUAGAAAAACGGCACAUUAAAAAAGAACAAAGAAAUAUGUAAGAAUCUGAAUAGAUUCUGGGAGAUGUUCGAGCGCCGAAGGCCAGAAUGUAUGAGACCAGAGGAGCCAGUGGGAGAGAGGUUUACCAGUAUGUCUCCCAUCGUCCCGGGAUGCUCCCUGUUUGUUUGCACUUAGAAAAACGUUUUCUACGGAGCUGCAGCCAGCCCCGGCCGCGUCUAGAACCAAACCCUCCGUGAUGUUAUCCCUGUGUUUUUACUGACAGGUUCACGGCAUUUCAAAAGGAAUCUCGUCAGACCAACAGCUGUUUUAAUGCAGUGCCAAGAGCAGACGAGGUCCCUGUUUUGUUGAUUGUAAAAAUGAAAAGACACUCUCUUAGUGGCUGGUGUUUCUAAAAAAAAAGUAAUGCAAAUGAUUUAUUUUAUACACCUUAUCUUCACAAAAACAAGACAGUGUGAAGUCAGGGGUUGUAUUUCUCUCAUCUAAAAUCCUCACUCCGCGUCUCUCUCCCUCUCCCUCUUUUGCUCUGCCUCUCUUUCUCUGCCUCUCUUUUGCUCUCUCCCUCGCUCUCUCUUUCUCCCUCUCUGUCUCUCUUUCUCCCUCCCUCCCUCUCUCUCUCUCCCUCCCUCUCCCUCCCUCCCUCUCUCUCUCUUCCUCUCUCUCCCUC
ensembl:lncRNA